CUUGUUUUUAUUAAAUUUUUGUAACGAACACCAAAUAGGCUUUGAAUAAUGGUUUCUCCUGUGGAAGGACCUGCUGUGAGUCCACACUCUGCACACAGCAAGGAGCAUGGCCCAGGUCACCAUCCAGUGAACGUCCCUGCUCACUUAGUAAUGUGGGUAGCCAUCCUGUGGAGGGUCCCUUCCCGGUCUCAGGUCUCACUUUCCUUUCAACCCUGUAGAUUCCAACACUUGGUGUCAGUAUUGCCCCAAAGCCAAAACAGGAUCAGGCUGGAAAUUAAGAAAAACCCUGAAAAGCUCUGGAGUGAACAGGAACCCUGUGAGUGCCAUCGCUAAGCUGGUGGUUGGUCCCGCAGGAGUCAGAGCUGCUAGGGAACGGAUGGGGAGGCCCCUGAGCCUGUCUGGGACAGGGGUUUGGCACUCUGGCUAAACUGAUUGCCCCGCAGCUAUCUGGCCCUCCUGGAGCUUCUUUCUCGCCCAUGCUAGUACCCGCUUGUUAGGAACUUCCUGUGGUCCAUCCUUGUCGUAGUAAAUGCUUGGUGCCCAUGGGUACGAGGGGAACAGCAUGUAAACAAACAUACGCAAUAGAGAAAAAAUGAAGGCCAAAGGAAAGCAGGCUGGUUGACGGGUUAUGGGUUCUAGAAUCAUCCAGACACCUGAUGUCCUCUCCCAGCCACUGGGCUAUCUCUUUCUUGUAUUUCUUCCCAUUUGCUGCUGCUCCUCCUCCUCCUCUCCCCCUCCCCCUCCCCCUCCAUCUUCUUCCUCUUCCAACUCCUCUACUCUUCUCUCCCCUCCCCCCUCCUCUAAAUCAUACUCGGGAUCCAGGAGCAAGAGAAAGGUGUGGACAAACCUUACCUUUGGGGCUUUGCCUUGCACUGAGGAAAAGAACUGCCGGCUGGGAUGCAGCCUGUGGCUUAUCCACCCCAGAGAUCCGGGAGCAGAUGUGAACUCUGCCCUCUAGUGGGGAAAGAAGGGGAAAACCGCUGCCCUGACCUCACCAAGACCAGACUACAUCUACACCAAUGGGAACCUCCUGAAGGAUGAUACACCCUGUGGAUCCUUGCGCCAAUCCUAAUUUGGAUCUGAACUUAUGCCCAAAGGAUCCAUAGGAAGAAGUAAAGACGGGAUUUUCUCUUAGGGGUGCCACCGACCCUCUGCCUCAGUGGGGAGAUGCCUCAUGUCCCGCUGCUGUGACAGAAUGCCUGAGAUAAAUCAACGUAAACACCAGGCUUAUGUGACGAAUACUUUCAGAGAUUUUUAGUCUACAUUUGUGUCGGGUCUCGACUCCCCAAAAAUGACAAUCUGGGUUCGGCUCAGGCUUACUUGGGCCAGGUCAACACUUAGCAUUCCUUAGAAAUCUUGUAAAAUGGGUUUCUGCUUGCCAUGAAAACUGUUACCUUCUUAUAUGCUCCUGCAGUCUCCGGAAAUUGCAUUGAGUUCCCUAUUAACUUAAACAGGUCCCCAGUGGGUCAGAGCCCCAUGCUCGUUCCCAGGCCGCUCCAGCUAACCCACCCUCCACCCGCUGCAACAUGUCUCCUUCUAACUGGCAGGACUCUGCCGAUAUCCAUGCUGUUUUCUCUGAAGCCCAGGAGACAGCCUUGGUGGUUGAAUAAACUGUUUUCCUUCACCCA
ensembl:lncRNA